rnacentral:rRNA from 1 species
UCCUGGCUCAGGAUGAACGCUGGCGGCAGGCUUAAUACAUGCAAGUCGAACGGUAAGGCCUGAAGUAGCAAUACGGAAGGUACACGAGUGGCGCACGGGUGCGUAACGCGUAUGCAACCUGCCCUUAACCGGGACAAAACAGCUGGAAACGGCUGCUAAUAUCCCAUAGUCACACGACGGGGCAUCCCGAUGUGUGUAAAGAUUCAUUGGUUAGGGAUGGGCAUGCGUAUUAUUAGGUAGUUGGCGGGUAACGGCCCACCAAGCCGACGAUGAUUAGGGGUCCUGAGAGGGUUAACCCCCACACUGGAACUGAGACACGGUCCAGACUCCUACGGGAGGCAGCAGUAGGGAAUAUUGGGCAAUGGAGGCAACUCUGACCCAGCCAUGCCGCGUGAAGGAAGACGGCCCUAUGGGUUGUAAACUUCUUUUGCCGCAGAGUAAACCUGGGGACGUGUCCCCAGCUGAGAGUAUGCGGCGAAUAAGUAUCGGCUAACUCCGUGCC